ACACUGAAAAAGACAGGUGAGACAACAGGUGAGGAAACAGGAGACAACAGAGGAGACAACAAGUGAGGAAACAGGAGACAACAAAGGAGACAACAGGUGAGACAACAAGUGAGGAAACAGGAGACAACAGAGGAGACAAUAGGUGAGACAAUAAGUGAGGAAACAGGAGACAACAGAGGAGACAACAGAUGAGACAACAAGUGAGGAAACAGGAGACAACAGAGGAGACAACAAGUGAGGAAACAGGAGACAACAGAGGAGACAACAGGUGAGACAACAGGUGA